UACGGAGGGUGCAAGCGUUAAUCGGAAUUAUUGGGCGUAAAGCGUGCGUAGGUGGUUUAAUAAGUUAUCUGUGAAAUCCCCGGGCUUAACCUGGGCAGGUCAGAUAAGACUGUUAGACUCGAGUAUAGGAGAGGGUAGUGGAAUUUCCGGUGUAGCGGUGAAAUGCGUAGAGAUCGGAAGGAACACCAGUGGCGAAGGCGGCUACCUGGCCUGAUACUGACACUGAGGCACGAAAGCGUGGGGAGCAAACAGG
rnacentral:rRNA from 1 species